GUGCUCACUUCGGCAGCACAUAUACUAAAAUUGGAACGAUACAGAGAUUAGCAUGGCCCCUGCGCAAGGAUGACACGCAAAUUUGUGAAGCGUUCCAUAUUUUU
ensembl:snRNA U6 U6 spliceosomal RNA